AAGGAGGGAGGAGCAGCCUGAAGAUCGACCUCCAAUUGGGAUCAUCAACUCCAUCUCUGGAGGACCCCGACGGAGAGCAGACCUUCCGCGACUAUGGGAUUCGAAAAAUCUACGAAUAUAUUACUAAUAACUCUACCUUAAAUAAAAAUUUCUUUCAUAUUUGCAUAUCUUUUCUUUUGGCAUGAGCCCAUAACGACAGGGAGUAGCCCCU
rnacentral:lncRNA from 1 species